CUCUCUUUCUUCCCUGCAUGAAAACCAUUAUUCUAGGUGAUAAAUGGGUUUUUUAUUUGGAGAAUAUUCUUGGUUUUGGGUCAGAUUUUUGGUCGUUUUCUGUCCUAUGUGAGAACUCCAUUUUUGGUUAUUAAGGCUCACAUAUUUUGGUGGUUCAAGUGAAUGAAUGUUGAGAAAUCUUUUGUAAUGUGAUAGACCCAUAUAGUUGUGGACUACUUGGUGUUAUCUUUGCAAGAAUCUGUGAGAUUUGCAAGUGAGCAGUGGCCGGUCUUGGAAGAUCUGUGUGAUCU
rnacentral:lncRNA from 1 species